UACGUAGGGCGCAAGCGUUGUCCGGAAUUAUUGGGCGUAAAGAGCUCGUAGGCGGUUUGUCGCGUCUGCUGUGAAAACCUAAGGCUCAACCUUGGGCUUGCAGUGGGUACGGGCAGACUAGAGUGCGGUAGGGGUGACUGGAAUUCCUGGUGUAGCGGUGAAAUGCGCAGAUAUCAGGAAGAACACCCGUGGCGAAAGCGGCUCUCUGGAACGGUACUGACGCUGAGGCGCGAAAGCGUGGGGAGCGAACAGG
rnacentral:rRNA from 1 species